rnacentral:rRNA from 1 species
UAAACAUGAUAGACUAUACACUCACUAUUCGCCAGGGUACUACGAGCAUCAGCUUAAAACCCAAAGGACUUGGCGGUGCUUAAGAUCCACCUAGAGGAGCCUGUUCUAGAACCGAUAACCCCCGUUCAACCUCACCCUCUCUUGUUUUUCCCGCCUAUAUACCGCCGUCGUCAGCUUACCCUGUGAAGGAAAAACAGUAAGCAAAAAUGGCAAAGCCCAAAACGUCAGGUCGAGGUGUAGCGUAUGAGAGGGGAAGAAAUGGGCUACAUUCUCUAAACUAGAGAAUACGGAUAAUACACUGAAAUGUGUAUUUAAAGGAGGAUUUAGCAGUAAGCGGAAAAUAGAGAGUUCAGUGAAACCGGCCCUAAAGCGCGCACACACCGCCCGUCACUCUCCCCAAGCUCUUAAUUUAAAAUAAUUAAAACACUACAAAUGCAAAGGGGAGGCAAGUCGUAACAUGGUAAGUGUACCGGAAGGUGUACUUGGAAAAAU